GUUGAAAGUGUAUACCCCAACUCUGAAUUAUAAAUGUAUAUCUUAUUUUUUAGUAGCAUUGAAAUACAAUCAUUGCCAAUUAAAAUGAAAGUAACAAAUGUUUAUCAUACUGCAACAUUAUACUUAUCAAAUUCCAACAAAACGUUUUGAUGCUAUCAUUAACUACUGACUCCAGUUUCUCAGGGUCAGGUGUUAUAGAAAAACCAUAUGUUGUCCUAACUAUGUCUGUGUGAAAGUUCUCAUAAACCAAUCAGGUUUCUGGUUCAAAUUCAAAAAGAAUUCCUUAACCAAUCAUACAGAUUCUUUCAAAAGAAUGUUAGAUUUUUAUGUCCUAAAAUCCUCCUGACACUCAAUUUGUUUUUCCUACUGACAUAGUCUUACUUUUUUGGAACAUGCAAGGUUAUUUUUGGAAGUUAUCCCAGCAAACACGUGCCAGAAUUAUAUCAGCAUCUAUUCCUGGAACUGGCAUGGAAUCAACAAUCUUUUACUACAGAUCUACGUAGUAUCUCAUCACAACAUCCAAACACCACUUCAUAACUGUUUUUUUUUCUCUUUUUUUCUGAUGUGGUUUAUCACAAAAAAAGUGUAAUUCUGCCAGGUUUUGCUUUCAACAAAUCAUAUUUCUUAUUCUAUAUAUUUGUUUACUGGCAGAUAAAGAAAGAGAUUUUGUAGAAACUUCCAAAACUGUGCCCUUUAAAAAGGUGGUAAUGUGGUGUUUAUUUUUCCCAUUCUUAGUUUACCUUGGAGUUUAUUUUUUUUUUUUUUUUUUUUCUGUUAAAAUCAUCUCUUAGAUAUCAUUUCUAAAAACAUGAACUAAAAUUUGUUGUUUAUGUUGAUGAGUUGAUGUCUUCCUAAAUUGUAAUAGUGCAUCUCCUGUUAUUUUCAAUAACUAAUAACUUGUAUUUGAUUCAAUAAAAUAUAUUCUAAAAUUGCAAUCUCUAAAUUUCUAAGGGGGAAUAGCGCAUUAUUUCUUUUGGACAAAACUUGAUUCUUUGUAAAGUCUCUAUACAACAUCUCUUUCAUCUAUUCAAUCAAUUGAUAGUUGUAUUACAUAAAUAUUUAGUAAAAGCAUUGUAAAACUUUUAGUUUCUAUUAUUUAUUCAAAAAUAUAUUCAUGGCCUACAUUUAUUAUUAAAACAACCAUUGUUGUGUAAGACUAUUUACGUUUUCAACCACCUGUAUUCAAAUUAAAUACAGCCUGCCAAAUUUAAGCGUUACUACCUUUCUUGCUUUUUAUAAUAUCCCUUGUAACGUUACACACAUAAAAUAAUGGUUGAAAACCAAAAAAAAAAACACAGAGAAGUUUGCUGAGCUUUUAAUUUACAAGAU
rnacentral:lncRNA from 1 species